AUUGAACGCUGGCGGAAUGCUUUACACAUGCAAGUCGAACGGCAGCACGGACUUCGGUCUGGUGGCGAGUGGCGAACGGGUGAGUAAUGUAUCGGAACGUGCCCAGUCGUGGGGGAUAACGUAGUGAAAAUUACGCUAAUACCGCAUACGAUCUAUGGAUGAAAGCGGGGGAUCGACAGACCUUGCUCGAUCGGAGCGGCCGAUAUCAGAUUAGGUAGUUAGUGGGGUAAAGGCCCACCAAGCCAACGAUCUGUAGCUGGUCUGAGAGGACGACCAGCCACACUGGAACUGAGACACGGUCCAGACUCCUACGGGAGGCAGCAGUGGGGAAUUUUGGACAAUGGGCGAAAGCCUGAUCCAGCCAUUCCGCGUGCAGGAUGAAGGCCCUCGGGUUGUAAACUGCUUUUGUACAGAACGAAAAGGUUUCUACUAAUACUAGGAGCUCAUGACGGUACUGUAAGAAUAAGCACCGGCUAACUACGUGCCAGCCGCCGCCGUAA
rnacentral:rRNA from 1 species